GCAUUUUAACAGACCCACUAAUGAAAGGCUUACCCAUAUGUUUAUUUUUAGAACAUAUUGCCUGAAUGGGAUUGUUGGGAGCCUAGCUUGUUAAGCUCAGUGGGAGUUAUUAUUUAUGUAUUGGACAUGCUAGUAUUUUGUAUGGAUUGCUUAUGGCUUGUGUUUUGUUAAGAACAUGCAUUAUGAUAAUGAAGUCACUUCUUUAUUGUUGUUACAUAUGUAUGCUUAUACGUAUAUGUUGUUGUUCAAAGAAGUGACAGGUACAAAGCGAGAUGAAUGCGCAUAAUCUCAAUUUUGUUGUACCUCAUGCAUGUUUGGAUUGUUGUUGAUGAUUGUUUUUGAAUUGAAUGUCUACAAGGUCAAUUCAUACAUGAUAUAUGUAUCCUCUAUAGAUAUGAUGUUGUGUAUGUUUAUUUAAUUACCUUUAUGUGAAAUAAUAGACAUUAUUAUGGUGGCUUGAUUGUAUUGUCCAAGUUGGAGAAUGUUAGAAUUAUUAUAAUAGACUAAUACAAUCAUACGUUUAAUUCCAUAAUACACAAUCAUUAACUAUGUGCCUAAUGUUGCUAAUAACCAUAAUAGGAUGGUUAACAACUUAAUAAUGUGUUAGAGGCACAUGAGAGCACCCUUAAUACUAUAGUUGGCCCAUUAAAUUAUAGUAUACCAUAAAGGACCCCAAAAGACCUAUUAGUUAAUAACCCCUUAGGGUUAUAAGGGUAAUAACAUGUGUGUAUAUAUGUGUGUUAUGUGUGGUAAAGGGGUCAUUAGGGAUUGUGUGGUAAAAGAAAAAAGGGUUAGCUCCACAAGUGCUCUCUAGACUUUUGCUUAAAGAUCUUGGUGGUGAUGGCUCUCACGGAUGGCAUGGGAGAGUACUAUGAGCUCCAUUAUCUUUAGCCACGUGUCCCAAUACCGAUAUCAAAUGAGCCACAGAAGCUAAAGCUGAAGUUGGUUCUGUUGGUGGCGGCGCAGACGCAGUGAUUGAGCACUGAUCAUCAUAAGAAGGAGAUGAAUGGACGGAACAUGCUCCUCCUGGUCCUGGUUGGAACAUGCUCCUCCUGGUCCUGGUUCAUCUUCGGCAGUUGCUCUGAUUUUCUAGAAGCUAACUGCAGCCGUUAAGACAGUGACCCACACCCAUAUAUUAUUAAUGAAGGUGUGUAAAUCAAAUCUGACAUAAUAUAAAACCAGAGCUUUGGAAUGGGAAUCUAGUAUGUUCACUUUUCUUUCUC